ensembl:lncRNA
UCUGCCUGUGUACUGUAUCACAUGACUUUUACGAUGUUUGACUGUACAAGUGAACACAAUCAGAAACAACCACAGGAUUCCAUCCAGGCAUCUCUCUGUCAGACCAGAGCUCUGUCAAAACGCCUGGCACUCUCUUCUGCACGUUGACCCACAAAUCAGGCCAUUAGUAAACUCGUUUCCUCAUUCAGUUUCUGGUGCUACAGAACAUGAUGCUGCCCAGCCAUCAGGCAUCAUCUGGGGGAAGUGAUCAGCUCUGUCAGGUCUGGCUGACUAAAUGGCACCUCUCUUCUGGCUGGGUUAUUAAGAGGUCUGGGUAUCAAUAUUUCCCUGUUGAAAUAUAACCUAAUCAAACUAACUGUUUGGGCUGAUGAUCACCUCACGUUAUAGGAGUAAAACAGUCCCUGCUGAUUGUCAGUUAAAACAUGGAAGAUGCCACACACAACAGAUGUGUCAUGGGAGUGUCCUAUUAGGAUUUGGAGUAUUUGUAUUGGUUUUCAGGAGAAUUGAGGUUCAGAAACAGACUUCAUAUUGGCACAGCUGUUCCUCUCCUCAUCCAUACUGUACCAUGUAUAGGAAUCUCCUUCUCCAGAUGUGGAUGUGCUGUGACACAGUUAGUGUGUGUGUAUAACCUAAGCAAACUCAUCUGGCUUCAUGGCUUCAAACAUCAACCUGAAAUUAAAAGAAUUGUGACAGGCUUUCGUUCCCAUUUGAACCCCUCUGUGAUAUUCAGACACAUAUUGUAGCCUCCCUCGUUGAGACAGGAGUCAAGACACACAGACACACAGUGCACUUGAUACAGUCAGAGAUCAUCAGCUAACACCAUCACCGUGGUUACGCACCAUGGAAACACGUCACAGCACAGCAUCAUAGAGAGAUAACAGGCCUGUGUCAACACGACAGGGUAACACCACCACAAACCUGACUCUGUACAGCUCAACACACACAACACAAAUAAACAUCUGUAGGAGAAGCAUUGUGGGGAUAAAACAACAGAGAUAACAUAAAUUAUUUAAAUACUCAUUUCUUUUGGAAGGAAAAGCAACAAUACUUGACUCACUAUAACACAGUAAUGCUACUCGCGGGUGUGACACAGUGACGGUUGCCUGGACACCACAUGGUCAGUGAACCGCACAAAAACAGAGGCUUUGAUGGUGAAAAUAAGACACAGUUCUGAAAUGAUUUCUAUCAAUCAAAUUUAAGUAUGUUCGGAAAUAUGUAGUGUAUGGACUCAUCAUACACUAUUUUAUCCCAUGAAGAGAAGGCAGAGAGACAUGUUAUAAAACCUGACUGAGCCUAAUAGACUGCUUAAGGAGAUCAGUACUACAAAGAAAGCAAAUGGGAAGAGUAAAUGUACUGAAUGCUCUACAAAACUAGCAGCGAUGUGAUUACAGUACAGAACUAGAGUAAACAGUUUACACUGUUGAGUCAUAUGUCUCUCGUCAGCGCCAGUGGAGCACAUCUGAAAAUGGAUUUUUACCUCGGAAAUGAUAUUCAGAAGGACAGAGAAGCCCCAUAGAAUGCCUUGAGGGUGUGUGAGCACUGUCUAAACUGAACUGUACUCAAGAGCUAAGAAACCAGGGUUUAUUUUCUGCAGAGGAGACCAUGGGCCCCCUACAAACUGCUAAUGAAUACAGCAUUCUCUCCACUGAUUAAAAUAUAUUUACGUAUAUACAAAUGUGUUAUACCCAUAAUUGUAUGGUUGUGUCACUAACCCUGCUGAGUCACCCCCUAACUAGCCACAGGCCCAGCCCUCCUAGCCAGUCACAGACCGGGCCCUCCUUACCAGCCACAGCCCCAGCCCUACUAACCAGCCACAGCCCUCCUAGCCAGUCACAGACCGGGCCCUCCUUACCAGCCACAGCCCCAGCCCUACUAACCAACCAGAGCCCCACUAACCAGCCACAGCCCUCCUAGCCAGUCACAGACCGGGCCCUCCUUACCAGCCACAGCCACAGCCCUCCUAGCCAGUCACAGACCGGGCCCUCCUAGCCAGUCACAGACCGG